rnacentral:rRNA from 1 species
UGGCGCUGCCAGUCACCGUAUGGCGAAUCCAUAACCAUACGGAGGGAACCCGGUGAACUGAAACAUCUAAGUAGCCGGAGGAAGAGAAAACAACAUGUGAUUUCGGAAGUAGCGGCGAGCGAAACCGAAAGAGCCCAAACCGAAGUGCGUGCACUUCGGGGUUCGGACUGUAAAAUCGAUUUAUCAAGACUAGCAGAAUGGCCCUGGAAAGACCAAUCAAAGAGGGUGAAAAUCCCGUAUGCGAAAGUUAAGAUAACGAGACAGUAUCCAGAGUACCACGAGACACGAGAAACCUUGUGGGAAUAAGCGGGGACCACCCCGUAAGGCUAAAUACUCCUUAGUGACCGAUAGAGCAGAGUACUGUGAAGGAAAGGUGAAAAGGACCCCGGGAGGGGAGUGAAAGAGAACCUGAAACCCUGUGUUUACAAGCUGUGGAACUACGUUAAAGGUAGGACCGCGUACUUUUUGUAGAACGGUCCGGCGAGUUACGGCUACUGGCGAGGUUAAGUACUACAGGUACGGAGCCGAAGGGAAACCAAGUCUUAAGAGGGCGAAUAGUCAGUGGUUGUAGACCCGAAACCGGGUGAUCUAUCCAUGAGCAGGUUGAAAGUAAGGUAAAACUUACUGGAGGACCGAACCCACUUCGGUUGAAAACGGAGGGGAUGACGUGUGGAUAGGAGUGAAAGGCUAAUCAAACUCGGAGAUAGCUGGUUCUCCUCGAAAUAGCUUUAGGGCUAGCCUUGCGUAUGUCUGCCGGAGGUAGAGCACUGAAUUGGCUAGGGGGCUGCACAGCCUACCGAACCUUAUCAAACUACGAAUGCCGGACAGAUCAGAGCGCAGGAGUCAGACAGCGACAGAUAAAUGCCAUUGUCAAAAGGGAAACAGCCCAGAUCGCCAGCUAAGGCCCCAAAAUUACGGUUAAGUGGUAAAGGAUGUGGAUUUGCUAAGACAGCUAGGAUGUUGGCUCAGAAGCAGCCAUUCAUUCAAAGAGUGCGUAAUAGCUCACUAGUCGAGUGAGUCUGCGCCGAAAAUCACCGGGGCUCAAACCGUAUGCCGAAGCUGCGGGCGCGUCUUUGACGCGCGGUAGAGGAGCUUACUGUAAGCAGUAGAAGCACGAUCGAUAAGGACGUGUGGAUGUAUCAGUAGUGAGAAUGUCGGAAUAAGUAACGAGAGAAAAGUGAGAAUCUUUUCCGUCGAAAAUCCAAGGUUUCCUGGGGAAGGGUCGUCCUCCCAGGGUUAGUCGGGACCUAAGACGAGGCCGAAAGGCGUAGCCGAUGGACAACAGGCAGAUAUUCCUGUACUACCGAUACUCACUAUGAGAGAGGCGGGGACGCAGGAGGAUAGCCGGAGCGCGCUGCAGGAAAUGCGCGUCCAAACAUCGAGGAUAUCUGAGUAGUUAAGUACGCUCGGAGUUUCCAAGGUGCGAUGGGGAGGGAACUAUAAGUACCGAAGCCGGUGAUUUCACACUGACGAGAAAAGCCGCUAUCGAGAGUAAUGGUACCCGUACCGCAAACCGACACAGGUGGAUGAGGAGAGAAUCCUAAGACGAUCGGGAGAAGUGUUGUUAAGGAACUCGGCAAAUUAACCCCGUAAGUUAGC